GAGGGUAUAGCUCAGUGGUAGAGUACAUGCUUAGCAUGCACGAGGUCCUGGGUUCAGUCCCCAGUACCUCUA
rnacentral:tRNA from 1 species